CGGGGUAUAGCGCAGCCUGGUAGCGCACUAGUCUGGGGACUAGUGGUCGUCGGUUCGAAUCCGGCUACCCGACCA
rnacentral:tRNA from 1 species